rnacentral:rRNA from 1 species
UACAGAGGGUGCGAGCGUUGUCCGGAAUCACUGGCGUAAAGGGCGCGUAGGUGGCGCCCCAAGUCUGUGGUGAAAGCGUCGAUGCUCAACAUCGAGUCGGCCACGGAAACUGGGGCUGGAGCACUGUAGAGGCUAAUGGAAUUCCGGGUGUAGCGGUGGAAUGCGUAGAGAGUCCGGAAGAACACCGGUGGCGAAGGCGGCCUGCUGGCAGUUCUGGACACUG